rfam:Sanguibacter keddieii DSM 10542, complete genome.
CACGUGCUCUGGGGUCGGUGAAAAUCCGAGCCGGCGGUGAUAGUCCGCGACCCGCGUCUCGACGCGGUUGAUCUGGUGCAACUCCAGGACCGACGGUCAAAGUCCGGAUGGGAAGAGUCUCGUG